rnacentral:rRNA from 1 species
AUUGAACGCUGGCGGCAGGCCUAACACAUGCAAGUCGAACGGUAGCACAGAGAGCUUGCUCUCGGGUGACGAGUGGCGGACGGGUGAGUAAUGUCUGGGAAACUGCCCGAUGGAGGGGGAUAACUACUGGAAACGGUAGCUAAUACCGCAUAACGUCGCAAGACCAAAGUGGGGGACCUUCGGGCCUCACACCAUCGGAUGUGCCCAGAUGGGAUUAGCUCGUAGGUGGGGUAAUGGCUCACCUAGGCGACGAUCCCUAGCUGGUCUGAGAGGAUGACCAGCGACACUGGAACUGAGACACGGUCCAGAGUCCUACGGGAGGCAGCAGUGGGGAAUAUUGCAGAAUGGGCGCAAGCCUGAUGCAGCCAUGCCGCGUGUAGGAAGAAGGCCUUCGGGUUGUAAAGUACUUUCAGCGGGGAGGAAGGCGAUAAGGUUAAUAACCUUGUCGAUUGACGUUACCCGCAGAAGAAGCACCGGCUAACUCCGUGCCAGCCGCCGCAGUAA